UUCUCCUUCCCCCCCUCAAUUCUCCCUGCUGUAAUCCUAGACUGGAAUUAUCUACUCUGUUUAGUUAGUUUUUUCAUGGGUAACUUGUUAGAAGAUUCACAUCCUCUCUGAACUUUUCAACACACACUAAGCAUAACCUUGCCGACCUGUUUCAGAUGGUUUAAUUAUGUGAGUGAUAAAGGUUUUUUUUUUUUUCUGAAAAAGAAAAAUGCAAAAUGCUUACGUAACUUGAUUGUACUUUCAUUGAAUUAGUGAUAACUUGAUUAGUACUUCAUCUCUAACACUUUGUUUCUCCUCCUCAGAUGUCUUACCCAUUAUUAGACAGCACUAGUUGGAGCAAAGAAGUAGCUGUGGUUCUUCAAGCAAAUGGGGCAUCCCACCAAACUUUUAGGCAACUGGUUCUUCGGUCAGAUGUUUUCUCAUUAUAGAGUUGACUUUGUUGCUUGUGUUAUCUUAUUUUUCCGUUUUACUUGGCCAACCUCUCUUUUUGCCACCAUGUUUAUGCAUCCUUCCCUCCCCAAACCUCACCACCCACAUACCAACUGAGCUAUGGCAGCUCAUUGGCAUGAAAAUUUUCCCUUUGAUGUCACUGAUAAUCAUUAUUUCAAUUGAUUCUCUACAUUCUAGAUAUGAUCAAGACCUGAAGCUUGAUUAAUCAGAAGAAAUAUUAUGGGAUUUCAAGGUAUCAUCAAUGCCAUCUCUCCUUGCUGACAAGGAUGGAAAGAAAACUUAAAAUUUUAAUGAUACCGGGAUGACUCCAUUAUCUUUUAGUUAUCAACAUGUUAUUGUGUGGUUUAUAUGAUGAUUAGAAGGAGGGAUGCGACCUCAAGAAAUGUUAUAGUGCUGUUUCUUUUUUAAGAAAGUGACCAUCAGCAUACUUCUUAUAUAUCCCAAUGAACCUGUACCAUAAGAGAAGAAUCUGGGUCCCCCAGAUUAGUGGGGAAACUGUAACAUGGAUUUAUUGGAUUCAUAUCCCAGAUUCGUGUGCGUGCUUUCGGUGUUAGCAAUUAGAAUUACUUCAUAAUUGUCAUGCAGAGAUCAUCUUUCCAUGGCGUGGUAGGUAGACUCAUUUGUUUUUUAAGUGCUCCACUUGCCUUAGUUGAAUCUCUAGCUGGAUAUUGAGGCAUAAUGAGGUAAGCAAACACUGUGGUGGAUCAUAAUCAAGGCAAAAUUUACCUUAUUCUUAAAGGAGAUGUAACCAUUUAGCAUCUCCUUUAAUUCAAUCUGAAAAGCUGAUUCCCAUGUUUUUUCUCCCCUACUAUUCUAAGCUAUCCCUGUACAUGACACAGUACAGUUUGUUUGCCUUAAAUUAUUCUUUCCUCUGUUGAAGUUCAACAUC
rnacentral:lncRNA from 1 species